GCCUGGCUAGCUCAAUCGGUAGAGCGUCAGACUCUUAGAUCUAAGUUCAUCUGAAGGCCGUGGGUUCGACCCCCACGUCGGGCU